rnacentral:rRNA from 1 species
UACGUAGGGUGCAAGCGUUGCCCGGAUUUAUUGGGCGUAAAGGGCUCGUAGGCGGUUUGUCACGUCGGGCGUGAAAACUCAGGGCUCAACCCUGAGCGUGCGUUCGAUACGGGCAGACUAGAGGUAUGCAGGGGAGAACGGAAUUCCUGGUGUAGCGGUGGAAUGCGCAGAUAUCAGGAGGAACACCGGUGGCGAAGGCGGUUCUCUGGGCAUUACCUGACGCUGAGGAGCGAAAGCACGGGGAGCGAACAGG